rnacentral:lncRNA from 1 species
ACCCCAGUGGAUCAGGACCCCACGGAUAAGAAUGCAGAGUCCAGAUGGACUGAUGGAUGGCUUCUCUCACUGGCUCCUGUGAAGCUAUUGCGUUCUUUGCUGAAUGUCAUGGGGGGACUUGUGAAAAGAAACAUCUUCGCUGACCCCUUGCUAUGGCUCAGCCAAACUGAGGAAAGGUGGCAAGCCCACCCCCCCCCCCCCACUCCCCCACCCCCGCGCGGAUCUCGUCAAACCCACAGGCUGUCCCUGCCAGGGAGCAGCGCUUGUCUUUGCAGAGAGCUGCUUGCAGCAUAUGCUUCCUUCUGCCUGAGCUCACACAGAAGCAGAUUGCGCCAGAUUCCCUGCUGGCUAUUCUCCCCGCAGCCUGGAUUUACAAGAUGGUGCAUUAAUAGGCCCCGUGUUUGUCCCGGGCAAGGAGUUCUGUGAUGUCCAUAGGAGUUUUGAAUUAAGGGCUCUUGGGUUUU